UUGCCCCAGUAACGGCGAGUGAAGCGGCAACAGCUCAAAUUUGAAAUCUGGUCCCUCGCUCCGGGGGGGCCCGAGUUGUAAUUUGUAGAGGAUGCUUCGGGCAGGGCUGCGAUCUAAUUCGCCUGGAACGGCGAGUCGCAGAGGGUGAGAGUCCCGUCUAGGGUCGCGUGCCGUCGCCCGUGUGAAGCUCCUUCGACGAGUCGAGUUGUUUG
rnacentral:rRNA from 1 species